rnacentral:rRNA from 1 species
UACGUAGGUGGCAAGCGUUGUUCGGAAUUACUGGGCGUAAAGCGCGCGUAGGCGGCUUUGUAAGUUAGAGGUGAAAGCCCGGAGCUCAACUCCGGAACUGCCUUUAAAACUGCAUCGCUUGAAUCCAGGAGAGGUGAGUGGAAUUCCGAGUGUAGAGGUGAAAUUCGUAGAUAUUCGGAAGAACACCAGUGGCGAAGGCGGCUCACUGGACUGGUAUUGACGCUGAGGUGCGAAAGCGUGGGGAGCAAACAGG